CACGUGUACAGCAAUCAUUGGGCCAUACGGCGCGGGCACAGCAAUCACUGGGUUAUAGGGCGUGUACACAACAAUCACUGGGUUAUAGGGCGCGUGCGUGUCAAUCAAUGGAUUAUAGGGUGCGUGCCCGUCAAUCAAUGGGUUAUUGGGCGCGUGCCCGUCAAUCAAUGGGUUAUUGGGCGCGUGCGCGUCAAUCAAUGGGUUAUAGGUCAUGUAGCGGAGCGGCAAUAUUAAAUUCCACGAUCUCCGCUGGUAAAGAAGGUAAUCCACAGUCAAGCACUGAAAAGUAAGGCAAUAUCCCAAAUCCCCCAGUAACCGUACGAGACACCGUUCUGGGAGUCAACUGAGGUUUUUAUUCACAGCAUCCAGUAUUUAUGCAAGUCCCCAUGCAAGGGGUAACACAGUAGGGGACUACAUGGGGGACUUAACAUUCUGGGCAUUUCUCCCAUCAGGCACUGCUGGACGAGAGGGAUACUCCCACUGGAAUACACCGUUAAGUGGAUUAUCCCUCCGUGCAGCAGAACCGGCAUUUCACAUUUAAAUACAUAACUUUUACACUAUUCGGUUUAUUUAAAUGAAUGGACGUUCGGUAGAUAGCUGGGGUCUGAGCGCACAUUUCGUGGGAAUACCGCUCAGAUCCCAGCUAAAAUAACCGAACGCCGCACGAAAUACACUGCCAUCAAGUUUGCCUAAAAGUACCGAACACCGAUGGGGAACCACAAUAACGAAAGACCGGAGCUCCCGAACGGCCUGGAAGUCCAGCGGUGUUCGCGCCGUCGAGUAUCCAUUUUCAGUUCCACGCGCUCGACGACCAAACACCGCUGGUGAGACAAAGGAUCCAAGAU